GUUUAGACACAUUCACAGUUACAUACCAUAACUGUGUCCAUCUCUUCAGGUGUCUUGGUGUCUGAGUGGUCUUAGAAACUACUGUUUGAUUUGGAUCAUAACACCGAGAUUGUUAGCUAAAAUCCCACAUUUUGCUCCAAUGUUAACUAGGGUUGUCAGUUUUCCUACUUAAGGUUGGGGGUUUUCUCUAGACCUUCCAGCGUUCAACCAAUAAAAAAACAAAUGCCCAGAAAUAGCACCAAAGUGGCUAUAAACA
rnacentral:lncRNA from 1 species